CCUGCAAGGUCUGUACAUCCACAAGAGCAUUAUCGGCCCAGGCUGUUGGACUUGGAUUCAUCUGACCUUGCCUGGACUGGUAUGCCUGAUUUUUGUGAUAAUUUUCAUAGCAGUUACAAGACGGCGUUAUUUUUAACAAGACAGUACAAAGAGGAUAAAAGAAAGACGAAACAAGAAAGUCUCCACCUCCUUGUCCCCCUUUUGCUGCUCAGUGGGUCAAAUGUUUCUGGUAAGCUUUCUGAGCGGCAUGACGGCUGAGUGAUCCCAUGGUGUUUAUACUGUCGUACUAUUGUUUGUACAGAUGAAUAUGGUACCUUCAGGCAUUUGGAAAUUGCUCCCAAGGAUGAACCAGACUUGUGGAGGUCUGC